rnacentral:rRNA from 1 species
GACGGAGGAUGCAAGCGUUGUCCGGAAUCACUGGGCGUAAAGGGCGCGUAGGCGGCCUGAUAAGUAGGGGGUGAAAUCCUGCGGCUUAACCGCAGGGCUGCCUUCUAAACUGUCGGGCUAGAGCACGGUAGAGGCAGAUGGAAUUCCCGGUGUAGCGGUGGAAUGCGUAGAGAUCGGGAAGAACAUCAGUGGCGAAGGCGGUCUGCUGGGCCGUUGCUGACGCUGAGGCGCGACAGCGUGGGGAGCAAACAGG